GACGGUACCUAACCAGAAAGCCACGGCUAACUACGUGCCAGCAGCCGCGGUAAUACGUAGGUGGCAAGCGUUGUCCGGAAUUAUUGGGCGUAAAGGGCUCGCAGGCGGUUUCUUAAGUCUGAUGUGAAAGCCCCCGGCUCAACCGGGGAGGGUCAUUGGAAACUGGGGAACUUGAGUGCAGAAGAGGAGAGUGGAAUUCCACGUGUAGCGGUGAAAUGCGUAGAGAUGUGGAGGAACACCAGUGGCGAAGGCGACUCUCUGGUCUGUAACUGACGCUGAGGAGCGAAAGCGUGGGGAGCGAACAGGAUUAGAUACCCUGGUAGUCCACGCCGUAAACGAUGAGUGCUAAGUGUUAGGGGGUUUCCGCCCCUUAGUGCUGCAGCUAACGCAUUAAGCACUCCGCCUGGGGAGUACGGUCGCAAGACUGAAACUCAAAGGAAUUGACGGGGGCCCGCACAAGCGGUGGAGCAUGUGGUUUAAUUCGAAGCAACGCGAAGAACCUUACCAGGUCUUGACAUCCUCUGACAAUCCUAGAGAUAGGACGUCCCCUUCGGGGGCAGAGUGACAGGUGGUGCAUGGUUGUCGUCAGCUCGUGUCGUGAGAUGUUGGGUUAAGUCCCGCAACGAGCGCAACCCUUGAUCUUAGUUGCCAGCAUUCAGUUGGGCACUCUAAGGUGACUGCCGGUGACAAACCGGAGGAAGGUGGGGAUGACGUCAAAUCAUCAUGCCCCUUAUGACCUGGGCUACACACGUGCUACAAUGGACAGAACAAAGGGCAGCGAAACCGCGAGGUUAAGCCAAUCCCACAAAUCUGUUCUCAGUUCGGAUCGCAGUCUGCAACUCGACUGCGUGAAGCUGGAAUCGCUAGUAAUCGCGGAUCAGCAUGCCGCGGUGAAUA
rnacentral:rRNA from 1 species